rnacentral:lncRNA from 10 species
GAUCGCGCCACCACUGCACUCCAGCCUGGGUGACAGAGAGACUCCAUCUCAAAAAAAGAAAAGAAAAGAAAAAAAAAGUCAUGGAGCCCCACUACCGAAGUAGGACGGGGACAGAAUCAGCCAUGAUUUCGAGUUAAGAUGCUCUGGUUGGAAGCCUCCUGCACUGCCUUCUGUAACAGCACCAGCUGGACGUUGUCAUGAAAUGUCACGAGUUCUGGGUGUUUCCUGGUCUGCAGUCCGCAGCUCCCUGCCAUCGGCCACCCGAUCUCACGAUGGCACAGCAGACAAACUCUGAGGAGCCUCCCAGGAGCCUAGGGCUUUUCCUCCGCCCUCUUCUGUAAGCAGACUGGACAGCAGGCCCCUGGGAUGUUCACGGGGACAGCACAGGUGGCAGGGGGGCAAGCUUCCACGAAGCAGGUGACCUGCCCGUCCUGGAGAAGAGAGACGGAGCACAGCCUGUCAGCUCUGGGAUGGCCUUCAGACUGGCGGCAGCUGACCACACGCCCCAAUGGAAGACAUUCCCACCACCGUGCUGUCAAAUAAAAACCGUAGUCACAAAGGCGACGUUCUCAGAGGACUGUGGGAGCAAGAUUCAACCAGAUGACGAGAACGUCCUGCACCUACACUUCCACCAGAACGAACGAUGAUCACUCAGAAUCCCCAGAGUCAAGUCUGCCUUAUUUUCCGAGUAACAACACCACUGGCUUUUCUCUGGAAGCACGGGGCCCCAUAACAAGGUGACCUUUCCAACCGCUGUGCCAUGCACAGGGGUAGCAGAAGCCUCCUGGAAGGGUCUCCUUCCUCAAACCCUCUCUUGCAUCUUGCAGGGCCGGGGGGCAGACAGGGUGACAGUGGCCGGAAAUGCCUGGGCCAUGAGGUGACCUUGGGAAGAGGCCACCCACAGUACAGCACCAAGCUGCAGCAGGGACCCUGCACUGCGGAGGGUCCAGCAAUCUCCACGACUGAGGGAAAAGUAAACUCGCACCUCAUUAAAACCAUCCUGGAUUUGGAGUUUUCCGUCCCUUGCAUUUGAACCUAAACUGUCUGUGAUGUCUGAAAUGAACACAAAUUAUUUAUCAUAAAUAUCCCAAUUCUUCUAAUAAGCCUUCAUAAAGCAUGCUCAGCCACAGGUAAGGCUGUCUGAUGAUGGCUGUGAAUAACUUCAGCAAGCCACCCACUUACUCAUGUCAAUUAAAACAUCUUCUUUGAUCUCCUGUCAGCCAUAAGUGUGUGGUCCCCAACCUGUGCAGCAGCAGUGUCUCACCUAUGCACACAUCAUGCUGAAAAAGGUGGACGUCCCCUCACCGUACCAUCUGCAUUUCAUAAUGACAGCUGGACAUCUAGGACCUAACUAGCCAAACAGUUACUCACUUUGGGAAAUGCCUCAGAUACGGCUUCUAAAUGAAAGCCAUCUUUCCUGCAUGCCUCAUUCAUUAGCAACUGGCACUUAAGUUAUCAAAGCUUAGAACUUUCUAGCUGAAACCAUGGGGGAAAAAAAAAAAAAAAGGAAGCCUCAGGAACAGUGGCACAGGGGCCAGAGAGCACUUAGGGGUGGCAGCCAGGACGGUCUGCAGAGGUUCCAGGUGACCUGCAUGUCACCUCUGUGUCUGCGGCUGACCUGCUUUAAUUCACAGCCAGAGAGAAGCAGUGACCACGCCGGCCUGUGUGUGCCUCUGCAGUCACCAAGAUACACGAACACCUCUGCACACAUGGGGUGCAGGGAAAUGACCACAGACGGCACACACCCUGUGCUGUCAGCAGCUGCAAAAUCACAAGGAACAUCCACAUUUCUCAGACCCAGCGCUGCCACCCAGGGAGCUGCCCGUUCAUCCUGAGGGUGGAAGGAAGUCCAGCAUUGUGGACAGAAUCAGCAACAUGGGAGGGCAUAGGGCGUUGGUAUUUGCCGACACAGGUGGGGUGGCUGGUCCCCCUCUGCCUCUGCUAUGCUGUCCAGGGUCACCUGUGCACAAGGCCUGCCCUGAAUGACCUUGGGGUUCACAGACCCCCCUCCCCAGUGGACCCCCCUAGGGCACCCAGGCCCCAGCACGGACCCCAAGGGUCAGCCUGGGUUUGUCUCUGCUUCUCUCCUAGUGCCAGGUGGAGCUGAGUGAACACUGCAUGCUGUCCACUUGGGCAGCUGCCGGGGGAUGUGCACCUGGUCUCUAGGCUGCGGAGGGAGGAAGACCUGCCACACGCUGUCCACUCUGACAGCUGCCAGGCGAUGUACACCUAGUCUCUAGGCUGCAGAAGGAGGAAGACCUGCCACACGCUGUCCACUCUGACAGCUGCUGGGGGAUGUGCACCUGGUCUCUAGGCUGCGGAGGGAGGAAGACCUGCUGCACGCUGUCCACUCUGACAGCUGCCAGGCGAUGUACACCUAGUCUCUAGGCUGCAGAAGGAGGAAGACCUGCCGCACGCUGUCCACUCUGACAGCUGCCUGGGGACUUGCACCUGGUCUCUAGGUUGUGGAGGCAGGAGGACCUGCCACACGCUGUCCACUCUGACAGCUGCCUGGGGGAUGUACACCUGGUCUCUAGGCUGUGGAGGGAGGAGGACCUGCCACACGCUGUCCACUCUGACAGCUGCCUGGGGGAUGUACACCUGGUCUCUAGGCUGCGGAGGGAGGAAGACCUGCGGCAUGCUGUCCACUCUGACAGCUGCCUGGGGACUUGCACCUGGUCUCUAGGUUGCGGAGGCAGGAGGACCUGCCACAUGUCGUCCACUCUGACAGCUGCCUGGGGACUUGCACCUGGUCUCAAGGCUGCAGAGGCAGGAGGACCUGCAGCUGCACGGGAUGAGGGGGCAGGCACAGGAGUAGUCAGGGUACCUCUCCCUGUGGCUGGGGGUUACCUUGGGGCUACACUAGGAGAUGAUGGAAGUUUCUCCCAAACCUAAGGGCUAAGAGUCCUGUGAGUAGGAAAGGAGCUGUGCUUACAGAUUAAAUGUGCUGCAGACAGCCAGGACCUGCGCACCUUGGGAAUCCCAUCCACACCAGCGGAGUGAGCGCACUUCCUUCUAUUUAGCCAUAGGUCUCAAUCUCCACCCCCUUACGUAAAAUCCCAGAGAUAACCCCCACCACAGGCACUGAAGAAAGCAGAAGUAAGUUCCUGGGAUAGGAAGGAGAGGACAGAACUCAUUUCCACAGAGCGCCAGAGAAGAGCCCCGUCUGAAAAUCCCUGUGGUCGUACCACAGACACCAGGACUUUCCUCACACCCGGAGAGGCUGGAUCAGUUGUGGAGGGCUGACCUGGAAGUGCCUCCUUACCACGCCCUGGGAGAGAUGAUUCAGAGUUAUUCCUGAAUAAGAGGCUUAAGAACAGGACUUCAUGUCUGAACUCUCCUACAGCAUCCUAAUCCUGUGUUCCCUCCAGCAAGGUCACCUGGCUGGCAGUCACACGGCCGUGACACAGAUUGCCCCUGCCUGGUGACCCCCAUCUGCUGGGAAACCCAGGGACACCAGUGGCACAUGGCCCGGCCUGACCCAGCGUGCAGAAAUGACACCCCCAAGGCUCCAGGGUCUGGGUCCUGUGUGGGCAGUUGAACAGUUGCCUGGGAAUAAAAUGCUAUACCCAGAAGGUUCGGGCAGGGCUGUGCUGCUGUGGAAUCUUGGAGUGGGGGGACACAGGCCGCCAGGCACCUCACCUGUGUUCUGAGGUCUGUGAUGGUCUUCUGCAUUUCCAGAACAAACUCUCUGAAGUCAUUUGUCCCAGAUGCAUCUGAGCGUGUGCUGAAGGCUGAGGUGCUGUUGCUGAGAUGUUCCCCCUGUCUCCCAACACUGUGGUGAGGGGAAAGGAGGAGGAGGGAAAUAUAACCUUGGCAGGUCACGCCGGGUCUCAUUUCAAGGUUUCCUGGGUGUGCACCGCCCCUGAUGCUCUGAGCUGGGUCUCAUUUCAAGGUUUCCUGGGUGUGCACCGCCCCUGAUGCUCUGAGUGGGCAGCACAGCAGGACGCAGGCUGCGGCCUGGCCCCCAGUGCCCUGGGACGUCCCUGCCAGGAACCAUCCUCGCCACAGGCCCACAGCAGGAUGCCGGUCCUACUGCCCGACGCCCGCGGUGCGAGGGCCCCUCUGCACAUCAUUUGACCUCAGAGACCACCAUACCUGGGUAUUUUCCGUGGUCUUGUUUUCUUGGUCGGCUUGUCCUCCUGGUAGCUGAACUCAAGAGACCGUCUGCCUCGGAAAUGAUAGGAAAAGGCAUUGAACUGCCCCCUGGUCCUACAGUCUAAAAUGGAAGCACAAAGCAGAAUGUCAGCUCUGAAGGCUCUGACCUCGGGGAAAUUAAGCACAUCCUGCCAACUAUGAAGUCUUCACUGGCUGCCCGUGGAACAAACUGUGGCACAUUUCAGUGAGGCAACCUGGCAGCUGGUCUGCGGCUCUUACCCUCUCCUGGUCUGAGGGGCCAAGCCUCUCUCCACCUGUGCCCCAGCCCUCAUGACCUCCUGGUGCUGGCCGCCCUGAGGACAGCUGGGCACACUGAGGAGGCUCACCACGCCAUCUAACCACACCCUCGCGGAGUUCCCUCCACCCACAGAUGGAGGCUCAGGCACUCUGCCUCGGAGAUCAGAGUCUGCUGUUUCUGGGGGUCCCUCCCCGAUGGCCAGAUGACAAUCUGCACUCUGGAGUGCCUUAAAAUUAUGCUACACUCCCUACGUCACACUGCCAGCCCCAGUGUCAGACAAGAGGCGGCCUGACCCUGCUUCUCCUGAAUGUAGCCCAAACACCUCCCUGCCUAGGAGUGGCUUCCUUCUCAACCUGUGGUGGACUGAGAAGCCCUCAGUGCUAUGCCUCACCUGAGCCCCGGGUGAGUGAGGGGCCCUCAGUGCCGUGUCCCUCCUGGUCCCCGGGUGAGUGAGGGGCCCUCAGUGCCGUGUCCCUCCUGGUCCCCGGGUGAGUGAGGGGCCCUCAGUGCCGUGUCCCUCCUGGUCCCCGGGUGAGUGAGGGGCCCUCAGUGCCGUGUCCCUCCUGGUCCCCGGGUGAGUGAGGGGCCCUCAGUGCCGUGUCCCACCUGGGCCCUGUGGACACACUAUCUAACGAAGUAAUGGGGUGUUCAGUCUGUCUUGUACAUCAUCCCCACCCAAGAAAGCUGUGGCAGAGCACGAAAGUGAAGGGCAAAUAUGGACCUUUGCAAAAUGCUAAUGUCUCAGGAAGCCACUGGAGUAGAAAUUCUAUGAGAAGAGAAGAGGCACGUGCAGCAUACACCUCAGACCCCAUGCUAGCUUUCCUGUCUCCCUUGAAGGGCGGCCGGCUCCUUCUGGUCUAGCAUUUGUCUGACUGGCUGGAAAGAGUAUCUUCAAGACAGAGACCUAAAGCUCCCUCUGCCCCCACAGCGGAGCCCACAAACAGUCCCACUGAAUGUGUUUAUUUCCGCAGUUAACUAUACAGCUUCUGAGUAAACCCAGCUGGCUGGACCCCUCGCUUCUUCCACCCACAAAUCGUCUCAGGAGCAGAGAAGAGCAGAGUUUCUUAAAACUCCUGGGCACACAAAUACAUCAUAAAACAGCAGCUGCCUCCCAGACUACCGCAGCCCCUCCCAGCAACACCUGGGGUCAAGAAUGAGCCUCACUGGCAGGUGGGGUCCACCCAGGGCUGUGCAGGUCUGGGGUGGGUCCCUGGUAGAAUUACAGGGCGACAGGGAAGCAGCAGGGCCAGGACACGGUCCCAGGCACUGUGGGGUCCCUGCCAAAGCGCACACCAGCCCCAACCCCAGAACUCUUUGAUGGGACCUCCGUCCCUCCAGGAUGGCCGUCUCUUCCUCACACCCCAGGGCACGGCUGGGCCACACCUGCUCAGCGGCCUGGCCUGCACCUGCUCUGUGCUGCCCAGGCUGGCCAAGCCAGGAGCAGGCUGGCUUCCCAGACCUAGUGCAGACCCCACACAGCACUUGUUGUAGGCAUCAACGAAGCAAAUGAUGAAAAGUUGUAGCUCAAGGACGUUCGCUUUAAAUGUGUCUUUUUAUUUUUUUAUUUUUUUGAGACAGUUUCACUCUUGUUGCCCAGGCUGGGGUACAAUGGCACGAUCUCAGCUCACUGCAACCUCUGCCUCUUGGGUUCAAGCAAUUCUCCUGCCUCAGCCUCCCAUGUAGCUGGGAUUACAGGUGCCCGCCACCACGCCCGGCUAAUUUUUGUAUUUUUGUAGAGACGGGUUUCACCACGUUGGCCAGGCUAGUCUCGAACUCCUAACCUCAGGUGAUCCACCUGCCUCGGCCUCCCAAAGUGCUGAGAUUACAGGCAUGUGCCACCGCCCAGCCCCCAAUGUGUCUUUUUAAAAAGUUUAAUUGAAAAGUAAAUAGCAAUUGACAUUUGGUUCUGUCAAAUCUGAGUUCUGUUUUCGUAUUUUUCUGCUGUAUUUAGAUAUGGCUUUUGGGGUAAAAUAAAAACAGGUAAAGCUUAUCAAGUAUUCUCUAAGCUGUGUCAGCUUAAGGCCAUGCCUGGUAUUUUAA